rnacentral:rRNA from 1 species
AUUGAACGCUGGCGGAAUGCUUUACACAUGCAAGUCGAACGGCAGCACGGACUUCGGUCUGGUGGCGAGUGGCGAACGGGUGAGUAAUGUAUCGGAACGUGCCCAGUCGUGGGGGAUAACGUAGUGAAAAUUACGCUAAUACCGCAUACGAUCUAUGGAUGAAAGCGGGGGAUCGCAAGACCUCGCGCGAUUGGAGCGGCCGAUAUCAGAUUAGGUAGUUGGUGGGGUAAAGGCCCACCAAGCCAACGAUCUGUAGCUGGUCUGAGAGGACGACCAGCCACACUGGAACUGAGACACGGUCCAGACUCCUACGGGAGGCAGCAGUGGGGAAUUUUGGACAAUGGGCGAAAGCCUGAUCCAGCCAUUCCGCGUGCAGGAUGAAGGCCCUCGGGUUGUAAACUGCUUUUGUACAGAACGAAAAGGUUUCUACUAAUACUAGGAGCUCAUGACGGUACUGUAAGAAUAAGCACCGGCUAACUACGUGCCAGCCGCCGCCGUAACAC